rnacentral:lncRNA from 10 species
GUGACCAGGCCCAGGGCUCCUUUGUGGUGGAAGCCAGUGGCUGGGAGCCCACCUGGAGAGUGUGGAGUGGGUGUGGGAGGGAGAGACAGGUGGGCGAGGUGUGGACACUCAACAUAGGAAAGUAUUUGGAGACAGUCACAGUUACACACUCAACAUCUGCUGGCACCUACCCAAGCCCAGAGCUCCCAGAGCCCCGCGGGCCCCCGAGGCACUCCCAGUCAAGCAUGGGAGACAGGCCAGCACACAGGUGAUCCGUGGUCGUGAUAAAUGGUCACAAGGGGCCGUGGGCACCCAGAAAAUGAGCUCCUACUCGGCCUUGGAGCCUGGAUCAGUUCCUCACUCUUCCCGGGGUCAGUAUCACGAGUGUUGCAUCCAGCCAUCAUGUCUCUAGUCUCCUUCAGCCUGGAUCAGUUCCUCACUCUUCCCGGGAGCCUGAGAGUGAGGCCUUUGAAUGAUGCCCUGGACAGAGCUUGGAACAUGAAGGUGAAUACUGUUGUGGGGAGAAUGCAUCCCUUUGCCUGGCUCUGAGCCAGGGCCAGCUUUGGAUCCUGCUAGCCCCAUGGAUAUAGAGAGAUAAGCUUGAAAGAUGCCAGCAGGGCCUGCUAAAAGCCUGCAAAAAUGACAAGGAAGAUUACACAGCUGGAAAAAACUGUUUCAACAUUUCUUGUGACAUAAAAAAGCAAAGCCUGAAACAACAAAAAAACCUACACGUAAGAGACGAGAACAUCUGUGAAAAACCAGUGGGUGAAAAUCACAGGAAUCCCGGCUUUAAAUCCAUAUAAAGAAGACCUCCAGCAGCCAGAGUCAUCCAACAGCAAGACAGGCUUCUGGAGAGAGAGUGAGGUCCCAGUUCCUAAAAGUAUACAAGGGCUGCUUACCAGGCACCGUCCGGCACUUCAGGUUUGCCAUCUGCAAAAUCUUCUUUAAUCCUUGUAAUGACCCUGUGACAUAUGGAAAACUAUUAUCCUCAUCUUCCAUGUGAGGAAACUGAAGCUGGGAGGGAAGAAGUCACACCUCCAAGGAACGGGUACUGAGGUUUUAAUGAACUCAUUACUCAUUCCACUGUCAGCACUCACUCUGUGGGGGAGGCCAGCUUUCAUGUCAUGAGGACACUCAAGUAGCCCUCUGGAGAGGCUCUCAUGGUGAGGAACUAAGGCGUUCUACCAAUAACCAUGCAGUGUGCCAUCUUGGAAGCAGAUCUUCCAGCACCAGUCCAACCUUCAGAUGACUGCAGCCCAGGCCAACAUCUUGACUGCAACUUCAAGAAAGACCCCAAGCCAUAACCACUCAGCUAAGCCAUUUCCAAUUCCUGAUUCUCAAAACCUGUAUGAGAUAAUAAAAUUGUUUGUUGUUGUUUUAACC